rnacentral:rRNA from 1 species
UAGGGAAUCUUCGGCAAUGGACGAAAGUCUGACCGAGCAACGCCGCGUGAGUGAAGAAGGUUUUCGGAUCGUAAAACUCUGUUGGUAGAGAAGAACAACGACGUUAUUAACUGAACGUCCCCUGACGGUAUCUAACCAGAAAGCCCCGGCUAACUACGUGCCAGCAGCCGCGGUAAUACGGAGGUGGCAAGCGUUGUCCGGAUUUAUUGGGCGUAAAGCGAGCGCAGGCGGUUACUUAAGUCUGAUGUGAAAGCCCCCGGCUCAACCGGGGAGGGUCAUUGGAAACUGGCAGACUUGAGUGCAGAAGAGGAGGGUGGAAUUCCAUGUGUAGCGGUGAAAUGCGUAGAUAUAUGGAGGAACACCAGUGGCGAAGGCGGCUCUCUGGUCUGUCACUGACGCUGAGGCUCGAAAGCGUGGGGAGCAAACAGG